CACACGACGCUCCGUCAUGAACAUGGAGGGCUUGGAGGACGACGAUGUUAUCUUCCUUCCGUCAGGAGGAUCCAGGAGAACUGGAGAGAAAGAGAAGCCGAUUGAGGCCACUACCACCAUCCACAUACAUCGAGGAAUAUGAGAUAGAGAAUUUAUCCUACCAUUAAAGAGGGUGAUGCAGUCAUAUACUUUUUCAGUGGACAUUGCUGAUCUAGCGGCUCUGGGAAUGUCACAACAAGCUUUUGUUAGCAUGCCUGAACAUUGCACAAAAGUCUUAGGACGGUGCAGCAUUCAGUGCCCUGCGUGCACACCCUCCAUGUUGGCUUUUGCAGUGGAUGGGAUCCGUAAACUAUACGGCUUUAGGUCCAGUAAUGGGUGUCAGAUGUUCAGCAGUGGAUGACAGGACCAACCAAUCAAAAUGACUUGCAGGACGCCAUUGAUGGACUCUUUUUGAGCAUUAAGCAGCAAACCCUUCAGCUGUAUCGUCAGACUGGCAGUGCUGAGGCAUUUACGGAGACGGGAAGUGAGGGUCUUCCCUGCGUGUUCAAGAGAAGAUUGCACAAAGUUCAAGCUUAGCAGGCUGCAGCUGGUCUGACAUAUUCUGGAACGGCAACAAUGUCUUUGGAUGACUCCUCCUCUGAAGAGGAAAACAUCAAUCAAUCAAUCAUUGUUUAUUGUCAUUACCAGAGUACAGGUACAAGGCAACGAAAUGGAAAGAACAGUUUGGUUUCAAAGAUUACAGCAUAAC